UAGGAUGUCAAACCAGUUAUCUUUCUGGACAAUAGCUGGUAAGUAUCCGUGAGUGUGAAACUACAUUUAUCUCUAUAUUGGUGCUUCAGGCGGUUCAUAUCUCCCUGAAAUUGCAUAUGGCAUGAACCACACCUGCCACAACUAGGAAUUCCUCACACAGAGCAGCCUGCUGCCUGGUCCUUCCCAACCUCUCUGUGGAUUUGUCUCACACAAGCCAAUCUGCAGUGAACGCAAGCAAUAUGCCACUCAAUCUGUGGUUUCACUGAUGCUUUUCUAGAAAUAAGACAUUUCUCUAAUUAUUCCUUCUUAGCAAUCAUUUUUAAUUACAUGUGUUUUUACUGCACUUAUGUCAGUCACAUUCUCCACAAUUUACUUUGUUUUAGAUCCAGCAGCUUAACAUUUUUGGUGCAGGCCAGCCCACGCUCUUGCCACCAUGUUGGAAUUGCAGACCGCCCGCGAAUCCUGAGGGAAUUCAUGAGUUUAAAGCCUAUUACUGUGUACUAUCAUUUCACAGCCCAGCCGAUAACCCUCAGGGCAGGACACAUCCAUAGGAAGAUGAGCAAGACGAGAAGAUGGUGGGACAGCACCAAGCCCAAAACUCUGUAGUACCAGGCUCCAGCUGGUCUGUAGUUUUAUGGACAGAAGCUGCUCAGGAUUCCCCAGUGCUGACUGAUUUACAUGGGAUAUCCAGUGGUCCCCUACUGGAAGAGAUGCCUCCAGUGCCAUACUAUGAGAACCUGCUUGGACUACAAGAGGAAGGACUACUGGCACAGUGCUGCUUGUGAAUGACCCUCAAUAGCUCUGCAUAGCUCCAUAGCUUCAGAACAGCUUUGGACCACCCCC
rnacentral:lncRNA from 1 species